UGUUGGCAUGGUCCGCAUGGCCC
rnacentral:piRNA from 1 species